rnacentral:rRNA from 1 species
GGUACUUGUACCGACUGGAUGAGCAGCGAACGGGUGAGUAACGCGUGGGGAAUCUGCCUUUGAGCGGGGGACAACAUUUGGAAACGAAUGCUAAUACCGCAUAAAAACUUUAAACACAAGUUUUAAGUUUGAAAGAUGCAAUUGCAUCACUCAAAGAUGAUCCCGCGUUGUAUUAGCUAGUUGGUGAGGUAAAGGCUCACCAAGGCGAUGAUACAUAGCCGACCUGAGAGGGUGAUCGGCCACAUUGGGACUGAGACACGGCCCAAACUCCUACGGGAGGCAGCAGUAGGGAAUCUUCGGCAAUGGACGAAAGUCUGACCGAGCAACGCCGCGUGAGUGAAGAAGGUUUUCGGAUCGUAAAACUCUGUUGGUAGAGAAGAACGUUGGUGAGAGUGGAAAGCUCAUCAAGUGACGGUAACUACCCAGAAAGGGACGGCUAACUACGUGCCAGCAGCCGCGGUAAUACGUAGGUCCCGAGCGUUGUCCGGAUUUAUUGGGCGUAAAGCGAGCGCAGGUGGUUUAUUAAGUCUGGUGUAAAAGGCAGUGGCUCAACCAUUGUAUGCAUUGGAAACUGGUAGACUUGAGUGCAGGAGAGGAGAGUGGAAUUCCAUGGGUUAAC